rnacentral:rRNA from 1 species
GGCUCCUUGUAAUUUAUAGAUAAGGAGUCGGACCUGCCCAGUGAAUUUUUUAACGGCCGCGGUACUCUGACCGUGCAAAGGUAGCAUAAUCAUUUGCCUUAUAAUUGAAGGCUUGUAUGAAUGGUUUGACAAGAGGGUAGCUGUCUCUUUAUAAUUAGAUGGAAUUUUAUUUUCAGGUGAAGAAGCCUGGGUAGUAUUGAAAGACAAGAAGACCCUAUCGAGCUUUAAAAAAAUUAAUGAAUUUUAAAUAUCUUAAUAUUACGUAAAAAAUCAUUUGUUAAAAAUUUUGGUUGGGGCGACAGAGGAACAAAUAAAGCUUCCUUUAAUUAAAAAAACAAUCAGGUGUUGAGCCAAAAAAUUUGAUUAAAGAAUUUAGUUACCGUAGGGAUAACAGCAUUAUCUUUUUUGAGAGUUCUAAUCGAAAAAAAGGUUUGUGACCUCGAUGUUGGACCAGAAUAUCCUGAAGAUGUAGCCGUCUUCAAAGGUUGGUCUGUUCGACCAUUAAAAUUCU